UACGGGGGGAGCAAGCGUUGUUCGGAUUUACUGGGCGUAAAGGGCGCGUAGGCGGUCAGUGCAAGUCAGUUGUGAAAUCUCCGGGCUUAACUCGGAAAGGUCAACUGAUACUGCUCGACUAGAGUGCGGAAGGGGCAACUGGAAUUCUUGGUGUAGCGGUGAAAUGCGUAGAUAUCAAGAGGAACACCUGCGGCGAAGGCGGGUUGCUGGGCCGAACACUGACGCUGAUGCGCGAAAGCCAGGGGAGCGAACGGG
rnacentral:rRNA from 1 species